CCUGGGAAAGAAUUCUCUGUAGUAUCUCAGAGCCCUCCCCAUCUAGUGUCCCAUCUCCAGCCAUUGGGGAUAACAGGAGAUUUCAUCCUCCACCCUCAACCUGGCUGCCAACCAGGGGCCUCCAUGAAUGACCACUGUGGGGGGCUCUGAUGGAGACACUUGCCCACUAGUGAGCAUCCUGAGAUAAUCAACUCACUUAACCCAGGCCAAUGAAAAGCUACCUGAUCGAAACAGCUCAUGCCUGGGCUGGAUUCAGACAAUCAGCAGCCUAGCAAUAAAACACUCCACUCUAUCAUCAUACCCCAGAGCCAGCAAUUUCAACACCAUUACAGGACACUGAAGCACUUUGUAUCAAUUCCCCGGCUAUUCCUUUGUCUUCUGAACAUGACCUUUAACAUCUAGCAAACAUCAUCUCCCCCUGUCUACCAGUAUCACAAGCCAGAUGCCUUGGGUUAUUUAAGGAUUUAGAUGACCACGUAGCAAAUAAUCCAGCAUCACCAAUUCCAAGAGAGCAAAAAUCAUGAACGAGCCCUCCCACCUCAAAAUCAUGAGACUUUUUAAAAAACAAUUAAUCUGGGCUGUUUCCUUGACCCUUUGUUUGGAGCUUUUAGCAGUCACGUUUCAAGCUUUUCUCUGCAACCAUUUUUUUUUUAAUGAAAGCUGGGAUUCUCCCAUAAUCACCUGCCUCCAGGAGCUGAGGCUUCAAGGAAAACACUAAAUACCGCAAGGCACACAAUAACAUUGAGAGAGCGGGCAACAGUGCAACACCCUCAAAGGUGGGCACAGCUCUGGGAGGGGGCUUGUAUAGCAGCACAGUGCCCAGUAAAAAAGAUUUAAAACCCCCUACAGAAGGAAUUCAAAAGCAAACCAAGAAGCUGACCUGGCCAGAUGGCAUGAAAUUCUAUAACAACCAUUUGUCAUGUUCUCCUAGUUAUGGGGGAGUCACACAUUGGCCAGUAUCUUCCAAAAAGGAGCCAGUUAUUUAUCUUUAGCCAGUGAGUUCUAGCAUCUGCAGGCACUUGCACCAUACAGUGAAAUGAGGAGGGUGCCUGCCAGCUAUGCUAUUGCACAUCAUUUUAGGGCUGAACUACGACACUCUACAGCAGUUACAUGUUUGAAAGGAAACUAAUUCAGAUACAGUAAUUCCAUCAGUAAACAGCAAUGCAGCCCACAGGAGCAAGGAAAUGACCACUUAAACCUGCAGUCACCAACCCCACGGGAUCUCUUGCUCACACACCCUGCACUCUGCUGGAGACAUACUCCAUAACAAUCUUUCCUGGCUACCGAGUGCCCAUCUCAGACUCUUAAUGCUACCUGAAUGUAACUUUUGUAUCAGGAACAAAUGCCUCCUUUUUGGUGAGCCCAGUGAAAGCUUUUCCAGUCCAGAGUCACUGCUUGGCAAUGGUAGAUGUUUUCCCACUGAGCUGAUGUGCUAGACACCCUAAGCCUUUGGAGCGAGUCCCUAACCUGACAGGAGCAGGGCUGGAAUUCAGGGCAGACAAAGCGUUUUCUAGGACAUGCCAAAACUUCCUCAUGGUUCAGUUGCUUGGAAUUUUGUUUUGCUUAGAAACAGCUCUCUAUAUCCUUCAAAAAACAGAGAGACAGCACACGGCUUCCCAGCAAACAACAGUUUCCCCCACUGCCUGGCAAGUGAAGUAUGACACUGGGAUUCACCCUCAGUUGGUUUCAGCUCUUGUCCAAAGGCAGGUUUCAGGACAGGCAGUGAGGGGCAUGGAUCGACAUUCACAUCACACUCCCCAGCAGUACCCGGCCCAAGCCAGGGAAGCUAAUGAUUCAACCAGCAGACCAAAUUCAGUGAUGAAUCCUGGCCACGUGCCACCUGAGGCAUGUUGCGCAUACACUAAGGACAGACAGCUAGACACCAUUCUGGGAAUUUUCUCCUCACCUGGGAUGUUACCGUCACCUCGUUAACCAGACAAAAGUAUUUUGUGGAAACGAACUUACCCCAUUUCUGCCGGGCUCUCUCCAGCAACAGGGGUCUCAUCUGAAUAAGGCGAGUGGCGUAGAUGUGGGCAUAUUGGCGAUUAAAGCUGCGCUCCCCGAGCCUGAAGUGCUGGGAGCAGUUAGUAUAUGUGGAGACGGGCACUCUGGCAAACGUGGAGGCCU